UAGUGAUUUGUUGUGACUUUUUUGAGCAUUUUUCUAACUCAAAAAUGAAUAAAACUAUUAAAAGUGGAGUGAGGGAGAUGUCGUUUCGCAUGAUUUCUAAAUUUGAAUAAAAACAACAGGAGAAAAACGCUGUAUUCAAACAGAAACAAUAUUGUUUACGUGUGGUGUUGAAUUUCAUAAGUUAGUAUGACACUUAGAAGUUGAUACAUUGUUUGAAAUCAAAAUCUGGUGGAUGUAGCAGGGGUUGAUGAGAUAGUGAAAACUAUUGAAAAACUGACUGGUUUGGAGCAAAAAGACAGGAUAAGAACCCAGAACUAAUACUUGGAUAAAAUAGCUUCAAUCACUGAAGUGAGUGUUACAACAUUAAAAAAAAUAAAAAAGGAAGGUACAGUAAAUGCAGGCGUCUGGAAUACCCCAGGGAAAAAACGGCCACAUAAGCUCACGACUUAGAUAAUUUCGAUAUAGAUGUUAUUCGUAACAAAAUUAACGAAUUUUACAUCGUUAGAAAACAAGUUCUUACGUUGAGAGUUCUGUUAAUGGAAUUAAGAGAAAGCAUUGGAUUUAAUGGAUGCAGAGAAACUCACUUAUUUGUCCAAUGGCUAUGAAUUUAAGAAAAAUAAGAAUAGGCGUUCAUUGUUAAUUGAACGUUAUGACAGAUCUGCCUGGAGACAUCGGUUUUUAAGAACCAUGUCUUUGAAACGUAGAGAAGGAAAGUCAAUAAUUUAUUUAUACGAGACCUAUGUUCAUAAAAACUACAAGCCCAAGAAGUCUUGGCAAGGUCCAUCUACAAGUGGUGCAAUUGAAAAUGUUUCGACAGGGAAAAGGUAUAUAAUUGUACAUGCUGGAUCAGAGAAAGGCCCUGUGCCAAACUCAUUGUUAGUCUUUAGCACUAAAUCCAAAAUGGCGGACUACCACCGCGACAUGAAUACUGUAAACUUUAAUAAAUGGCUAAGAGAAAA